rnacentral:rRNA from 1 species
UGGGGAAUUUUGGGCAAUGGCCGCAAGGCUGACCCAGCGACGCCGCGUGUGGGAGGAAGCCCUUCGGGGUGUAAACCACUGUCACUUGGGACGAAUGCCGGGCAGGGGAAUACUCUGUCCGAGUGACGGUACCGAGAGAGGAAGCGCCGGCUAACUCCGUGCCAGCAGCCGCGGUAAGACGGAGGGCGCAAGCGUUGUUCGGAAUCACUGGGCGUAAAGCGCGCGCAGGCGGGUUUUUAAGUCUGGAGUGAAAUGCCGGGGCUCAACUCCGGCGCUGCUUCGGAUACUGGGAGCCUGGGGACCGGUAGAGGCCGGUGGAAUUGCUGGUGUAGCGGUGGAAUGCGUAGAGAUCAGCAAGAACACCCGUGGCGAAGGCGGCCGGCUGGGCCGGGUCCGACGCUGAGGCGCGAAAGCGUGGGGAGCAAACAGGAUUAGAUACCCCCGUAGUCC